AUUCGCCCCGCUCCCACGCCAUCUUUACUGAGGGCAGCAGAUGGUACAAGGAGCCGAGUGUGAAAUUCUCUCGUUCGCUGCCAUGUGUGGUUAACUCUGGAGCAUAACGACGGCGAUCUGUCACAGUUGUUACACUGGUGAUGGCUGAUGGGCCCCUGGCUGGACAGAGGGGUGGUAGCCACACCAGUGGCCAUUAGCAAUACUGGCUACCUCUGUUGAGAUAAAUAUGAGAAGGAAGAAACCAUCCCCUGAAACCUGAGGUCUCUCCCUCUAUUGGCCGACGGAGGACGGAGUAUUUACCAGUAGCUAGAAACAGGGAAACGCAGAGGGGCCCACUACAGAACCAGCCUCCCAGGAGCGAUUUCUCAAUCCUGAAUGUCCCCCGAGCUGCAGCCAGAGGGAUUGAGGCAGAAGAUGGGACCUCUCAUACUCUGAUCAAGAAAAGAGAGGUCUGAGUUGGUGAAUUUCAGGAGGUCAUCGCAGUGGAGAGGGACCUGAAGGAAGGACAUGAUUGAGGAGAAUUGCGAGCCUUGUAGACUGAGCAUCCCAUGCCGAGGAACCACAGAAGGCACCUGGAGACAGCUGGGAGAAGUGACAAAAGACAUACGGAGGCCAACACCACUGGGGGCACAGGGGAGGUGUAGAACUGAUGAAUGAAAUUGUUUUUAAUUGUUCACUUUAUUAUUGUAACUUCUGUUCACUGUUUGCCAUCCACUACACUUGUCUAUAUUGUAACUUCUGUUCACUGUUUGCCAUAUUGUAAUUCAAACCCCAUUUUAAAACGCUCACUCCAUUUUGUAAAAGCUUCCUCCAACCUUCAUUUUUGCAAAUCCUGCUGUAAUCUUAUUAGUUUAGUUUAGAUGUGUGACUGAGGUAUGUAUGGAUGAUGGAAUCAACCUCCAGCUCGAGCCUGUCCUGAGAGUUCAAAACACCAACGGCUGAAGAUGCAGACAAGAGCCCUAACAAAGUAUGCAGAGUCCACCCUGAAAAGAAAAGGUACAAUAGAAGGAAGAUCAAAGCCAGGUCUAAGGCUGACAGUCAUGCCUGCAAUUGACGGGUGAUCAAUCACCAAACCCAGAGGCAGCGUGACACAGCAAGACCUAUAGACUCUGGAUUAAAACUAAAGCCUACAAAAAGGAUGGGUGAAAUGGAAGACUUUGGAGGGUAAUAUUCUGCUGCCAACAUGGAAGGGCAUCGGUGCACGCGCAACAGAGACCCAGCUUGUCCUUGUGCCUGGCUUUCCUGGCCAGUUAGCCGCCACAAGCUACAAACCCAAGCUGCAAAAUCAAGCCACGAACUCAAGCUAUCUUCAGGACUGGUAACUGUGUAGCAGCUGCAGAACAUCUGAUGGAUGUGUGUGUGUGUAUAUAUAGGUAUUAGGUAUAAUGUGUGUGUAUAAGGAUUAAGAUAUUAGUUAUUGGUCAUAAAUCAAAUUGUUAUCAUGAUAAAUGUGGCAUCUUUGUCUUGCCCCC